rnacentral:rRNA from 1 species
AUGGUGGAAGGCUCGGAGGUGGACAUCUCUCAUUUGAAGUUCCUCCUACUCUGCUUCCAACAAAUGUCUGGCCUCAUGAUCAACCUCGACAAGAGCGAUGUGAUGCUGAUGGGAUAUUCUCCGGAUGAAUGCCAGGGCAUUGCCAACCGCCUUAACUGCCGCCUGGGAUCCUUCCCCACGACCUACUUGGGUACGCCCAUUAGUGACUCGCGGCUCACCGUCGCCGACCUGCGUCCGACCGUGGCCAAGUUGUAGACUCGCAUUGAGCCUUGGCAAGGGAGGUGGUUGUCGAAGGCAGCCCGGACGAUUCUCAUCAACUCCUCCCUCUCUAGCCUCCUCCUGUUCCUCAUGAGCUUCUAUAGUCUGCACGAGACUCUGCAUCAUGAGAUCGCCAGAGUCCAGACUCGUUUCUACUGGGCGGGCGACAAUAAUAAGCAGAAAUACCAUAUGGUUAGCUGGCCGGACAUCUGCAAACCGCAGGAGCAAGGUGGCCUCAGGAUCAUGUGCUCUAAGCGCAUGAACAUCGCCCUCUUAUCCCGCCGGCUGUGGCGCAUCUCGCAAGGGCAAGGAGGCCUCUGGUUAGACAUCAUCCGGAACAAGUACCUUCGUGGUCAGCCCCUCGCCUUCUGCUAG